rnacentral:ncRNA from 1 species
CAAUCGGGGUGCUACCGGCAAUAGUGCCGGAUGCUGAGAAAAGACCCGUAAGACCUGAUCAGGGUAAUGCCUGCGGAGGAAAAAAUGAA